GAGACCUGACGAUGCCUACACAUGCAAGUCAACUUGAGCUUCGGUUUGGGUGGCGGACGGGUGAGUAACGCGUAAAGAACUUGCCUCACAGCUAGGGACAACAUUUGGAAACGAAUGCUAAUACCUGAUAUUAUUAUUUUAUGGCAUCAUGGGAUAAUGAAAGCUAUAAGCGCUGCGAGAGAGCUUUGCGUCCCAUUAGCUAGUUGGAGAGGUAACGGCUCACCAAGGCGAUGAUGGGUAGCCGGCCUGAGAGGGUGAACGGCCACAAGGGGACUGAGACACGGCCCUUACUCCUACGGGAGGCAGCAGUGGGGAAUAUUGGACAAUGGACCGAGAGUCUGAUCCAGCAAUUCUGUGUGCACGAUGAAGUUUUUCGGAAUGUAAAGUGCUUUCAGUUGGGAAGAAAAGAAUGACGGUACCAACAGAAGAAGUGACGGCUAAAUACGUGCCAGCAGCCGCGGUAAU
rnacentral:rRNA from 1 species